rnacentral:lncRNA from 1 species
AUGUUUUGGCACAAUAUUAUGACUUUGUGUUUUCGACUAAAUCUUGUGGUUGCUAGACGUAGUACACCCUAGGAACAAACUAAUAAAUUAUUUGGUAAUUAAAUAUUCUACCAUAUUUGAGACCGAGAGGAGAUUAGAUGUCGGGUUGUCUUAAUCAUUAGACGGGUUAGGUGUUAAUUGCACGAGAGUAAAUUGUAACACCCCAAAAAGGGUUAACAUGAAAAUAGGUUAAAUAACUAAAAGAAUUAACUUAGUAAAAAUAUCACAAAAGCUAGAUAAAGGAUGGAAAGUGCCAAAUUAAAAACAUGUAAACUAUAUGGGGGUUAAACAUGGCCAAUGAUAAAAUAAAGGUAUUAGAAGGGGAAAACCCAGAAACACACACAUUGUGCGUGUCUGGGGAUCGAACAAGGCAGAACAAGGGUGAAAACCCUUGUUUAUCAAAUUCAAUCAAUUGGGUAAGAGAUUAGAAGAAAAUCAACUGCAUGAACUCAAAUCUACACUCAUCUAAACUUGAUUUUUAAAGAGGCGCGAAGGAAGAAGGUUCAAGUACUAGGAAAUCGGAAGGCCCGCAAGAUCGAGGUAAAGCCUCAAUUUAAUCGGUUCGGCGACUUGGAACGAGCACCCAUAUGUAAUUCGCCUACAAGCGCUUCCGCUACCUUUUGUAACAAAGUCAUGGUCAAAUGUAUUUUGUUGUAGUUAGUUUUAAAUAUUGGUUAAUCUUUGAAGUUUGACUUGUUUGGUCUUUUGAAAUUUCUCUAGAUGUCGGUAGUUAUCUAAAACUAUGUUUUGGAUUUGUAAGUCUUUUGAAAGUGAUGUUAAUUACUUGAAAUUACGUUUGUCAAAACAGGGAUUGUUCAUAUAGCAAAUGGGUCAUGCCAAAUUUUUCUAAAAAUAAUUGUUGAAUUUAUUAAGUUCUAAAGUGAAUGAAAAUGGGGCGUUAUAUAAAUUACCCUAGGUUUUCUUGUGAUUUUUACGUGUUAGAACCUGAUUAGAGUCACCACCAUGUACAUCUCUUACACUUCCCGGAUAUACGGUUUCUAGUAAGACUGAGAGGUAAUCUAGAUUUAGGGUACCAUAACCUAGUUUGAGAGACUGAGAGGUGAUCUGGCAUUAACCGGUGAAUUUACACACUAUUCUUGAUCCUAGAUUGCGACCUUUUUGGAGAAUG